GGGAGCCGGAUGCGGUAGUUCCGCAAGUCCGGUUCUGAGGAGGGGCCCGUCUAGGUAACUGGCGGGUCUACUCAAC
rnacentral:autocatalytically_spliced_intron from 1 species